rnacentral:rRNA from 1 species
UACGAAGGGGGCUAGCGUUGCUCGGAAUUACUGGGCGUAAAGGGCGCGUAGGCGGAUAGUUCAGUUGGGGGUGAAAGCCCGGGGCUCAACCUCGGAACUGCCUUCAAUACUGGCUAUCUUGAGUACGGGAGAGGUGUGUGGAACUCCGAGUGUAGAGGUGAAAUUCGUAGAUAUUCGGAAGAACACCAGUGGCGAAGGCAACACACUGGCCCGUUACUGACGCUGAGGCGCGAAAGCGUGGGGAGCAAACAGG